rnacentral:rRNA from 1 species
UACGAAGGGGGCUAGCGUUGUUCGGAAUCACUGGGCGUAAAGGGCGCGUAGGCGGCUAUAUAAGUCGGGGGUGAAAGCCUGUGGCUCAACCACAGAAUUGCCUUCGAUACUGUAUGGCUUGAGACCGGAAGAGGUUAGUGGAACUGCGAGUGUAGAGGUGAAAUUCGUAGAUAUUCGCAAGAACACCAGUGGCGAAGGCGGCUAACUGGUCCGGUUCUGACGCUGAGGCGCGAAAGCGUGGGGAGCAAACAGG